rnacentral:rRNA from 1 species
GAUGAACGCUAGCGGCAGGCUUAAUACAUGCAAGUCGUGGGGCAGCACAGAAUAGCAAUAUUUGGGUGGCGACCGGCAAACGGGUGCGGAACACGUACACAACCUUCCGAUAAGUGGGGGAUAGCCCAGAGAAAUUUGGAUUAAUACCCCGUAACAUAUAGAGAUGGCAUCGUCUUUAUAUUAUAGCUUCGGCGCUUA